rnacentral:rRNA from 1 species
GACGAACGCUGGCGGCGUGCUUAACACAUGCAAGUCGAACGGAAAGGCCCUGCUUUUGUGGGGUGCUCGAGUGGCGAACGGGUGAGUAACACGUGAGUAACCUGCCCUUGACUUUGGGAUAACUUCAGGAAACUGGGGCCAAUACCGGAUAGGAGCUCCUGCUGCAUGGUGGGGGUUGGAAAGUUUCGGCGGUUAGGGAUGGACUCGCGGCUUAUCAGCUUGUUGGUGGGGUAGUGGCUUACCAAGGCUUUGACGGGUAGCCGGCCUGAGAGGGUGACCGGCCACAUUGGGACUGAGAUACGGCCCAGACUCCUACGGGAGGCAGCAGUGGGGAAUAUUGCACAAUGGGCGGAGGCCUGAUGCAGCAACGCCGCGUGCGGGAUGACGGCCUUCGGGUUGUAAACCGCUUUCGCCUGUGACGAAGCGUGAGUGACGGUAAUGGGUAAAGAAGCACCGGCUAACUACGUG